AAAGUCAUUUACAAAGGGUGUUUUACAAUCUUAUUGUUUUGACCAAGAAUAUACAUUGUGGGAGACAGCUACAUUCACCGUGGGGAAAAAAAGAGCGAGAGAGAUGACUGGGAGAAACCUGGGACUAAAUGCCCUCAUCCAGUGGUUUGGUAGGGGAGGGAUGAUUUGGAGAAACGUCCUCCCGUACUUUGAACAGUGCCUCCAAGGAAGAGCUGUGCCAGACAUUCUCUUGGUUCACUGUGGCGGAAACGAUCUUGGAAAAACCAAGAGUAUCCAUCUUGCCGCAAGAAUAAAGCAGGACUUGCAAGACCUCCACAGGAAGUAUCCAGAGAUAAAAAUAAUAUUCUCUACAAUAACUCAGAGAAACCUGUGGAGAUCUGCACAACCUCAAAAAAUUGAGAAAGCACGGCGCUUCAUUAACAGUGUGAUGGCUUCCUUCAUCUCAUGUAUUGAUGGAGCCAUUGUUCAUCAUCGUCAGAUAAAGCGUAGACAUCCUGGACAUUUUUUGCCUGAUCUAGUUCAUCUGACCCCUUUGGGAAAUGAUAUUUUUUUAAACAAUAUUGCCCAGUGUUUGAAAGACCAAAAAUCAGGUAGGGUUUGAAGUGAACUGCUGGAUUUGAACUUUCUAACCAAAGUUGUGACAUAAAAAAUUUCCAGAAAUUUUAAACUUUGUGACGUUUGAUGAACAACAUAUUUUAUUUAUUUUUAAAAAAAUUUCAAGGGAAGCCAUCACACUGACAUCUGUCACAGCUGUUCCUUUUCAAUACUUUUCUUUGUUCUUCCAAUUUCCCCAUGGUGAAUGUAGCUAAGAUUUUGUAAAUAAAUGUUCAUUUUUACUUGCA